GUGCAGCAGUCGAGAAACUUCACAAUGUGCGAAAGCACGAUGAGGGAAUCCCAAAUGCUUGCGCGUAAGUGUAAGCUGUUUCUCUGUCUAAAACGCAGAGAGAGUAAGGGCUGGGUAAGACGGGUGCCAGCCGCCGCGGUAAUACCUGCAGCUCGAGUGGUGACCGUUAUUAUUGGGCCUAAAACGUCCGUAGCCGGUUUAAUAAAUGCCUGGGUAAAUCGGACCGCUUAACGGGUUCGAAUUCCGGGUAGACUGUUAAACUUGAGACCGGGAGAAGUUAGAGGUACUCCUGGGGUAGAGGUGAAAUUCUGUAAUCCUAGGGGACCACCAGUGGCGAAGGCGUCUAACUAGAACGGGUCUGACGGUGAGGGACGGAGCCCUGGGGCGCAAACGGGAUUAGAUACCCCGUGUAGU
rnacentral:rRNA from 1 species